CUAAGGCUGUAUUGGAUCAUGGAAAGAAGAAUUUCAGGGGACAAAGGAGGAGGAAAGCAAAAGUUUUUUCUUAUUUCCGUUCAAUCUGAUUUUUUACCCCUUGCAUAGAAUCACGUAACACUUGUCAAGCGCCAAGACUUCUGCUUACUUGCGCUGUGUAACAUACUAUGUUUUUUGGUGGAACAAUAGGGGAGCAAGAGGAAAAACAAGUCAAUGGCAAAUAGUCAAACACAUUGUUGCCGAGCAAAAGCAUGUUAUACCAGUGAUGGGUGAAUUUGCCACAAUGUAUCGGUCUAAACAGGUGAAUUUGGAGGCAAGAGUUGGAUUGAGCUCUAGUGUUGGGAUAGGUUUAAUUGAGGAAGCAAAACACUUAUUAGUAGAAUUCAUUCUUUUCGGCCGACCGAGAAAUAAAUCAAAUCGGUGAGAGAACUGCUCAAUAUAGUAGUAAAUUGAAGCAAGUUUGUUUUGCACAAUUAACUCAAAAUAUUCAGUCUUUAAUAUGUUGUUCUCCAAUUUUUUUUAUUAAAUCGCACUCUUUUUACCUCUCUUAACAUGGGAAACAUCCUCUAUUCUUAAGAAUUUGGAAAAAAUUUAGAUACUAGAAUAC